rnacentral:lncRNA from 1 species
AUGUCUCUCCCUGCCAGUGAAGGAGGUGCGGACAGCCUUGACGAAGGCACUGCUGGCUGGGGAGGCAUGGGCCUUGGCGAAGGAGGCGCGGACAGCCUUGACGAAGGCACUGCUGGCUGGGGAGGCAUGGGCCUUGGCGAAGGAGGCGCGGACAGCCUUGACGAAGGCACUGCUGGCUGGGGAGGCAUGGGCCUUGGCGAAGGAGGCGCGGACAGCCUUGACGAAGGCACUGCUGGCUGGGGAGGCAUGGGCCUUGGCGAAGGAGGCGCGGACAGCCUUGACGAAGGCACUGCUGGCUGGGGAGGCAUGGGCCUUGGCGAAGGAGGCGCGGACAGCCUUGACGAAGGCACUGCUGGCUGGGGAGGCAUGGGCCUUGGCGAAGGAGGCGCGGACAGCCUUGACGAAGGCACUGCUGGCUGGGGAGGCAUGGGCCUUGGCGAAGGAGGCGCGGACAGCCUUGACGAAGGCACUGCUGGCUGGGGAGGCAUGGGCCUUGGCGAAGGAGGCGCGGACAGCCUUGACGAAGGCACUGCUGGCUGGGGAGGCAUGGGCCUUGGCGAAGGAGGCGCGGACAGCCUUGACGAAGGCACUGCUGGCUGGGGAGGCAUGGGCCUUGGCGAAGGAGGCGCGGACAGCCUUGACGAAGGCACUGCUGGCUGGGGAGGCAUGGGCCUUGGCGAAGGAGGCGCGGACAGCCUUGACGAAGGCACUGCUGGCUGGGGAGGCAUGGGCCUUGGCGAAGGAGGCGCGGACAGCCUUGACGAAGGCACUGCUGGCUGGGGAGGCAUGGGCCUUGGCGAAGGAGGCGCGGACAGCCUUGACGAAGGCACUGCUGGCUGGGGAGGCAUGGGCCUUGGCGAAGGAGGCGCGGACAGCCUUGACGAAGGCACUGCUGGCUGGGGAGGCAUGGGCCUUGGCGAAGGAGGCGCGGACAGCCUUGACGAAGGCACUGCUGGCUGGGGAGGCAUGGCCUUGGCGAAGGAGGUGCGGACAGCCUUGACGAAGGCACUGCUGGCUGGGGAGGCAUGGCCUUGGCGAAGGAGGCGCGGACAGCCUUGA